GGGGGCGAUUUGGAUUCGACGGGAAGGCAGAGGCGUAGGAAGCACGUCGAGGUCCACUCCUCGUUAAUCCGUGGAACAAAAGUACUUGGCAACAACCAGUACGCCCUCGCUGCUUAAGUAGCGACGUUUCCCGAGUUGCCCGCCCGAGGCGGCUCGUGGAAGCGCCGAUAAUUCGGGCUAGCUCAACGGUGAUGCCUGUAACCGACGAGCGAAAUUUACAGGCUGGCCUUCCGAUUGUUUGCCGCUCAGUGGUCGGAAUGGCGAGAUAAAAAGCCGAGCAGGCUAAGCGUGUAGAAACUUACGUACGAACCUUUUCGGACGCGGGUUCGAUUCCCGCCGCCUCCACCA
rnacentral:tmRNA from 1 species